rnacentral:rRNA from 1 species
AAUUUUGGUCAAUGGAGGCAACUCUGAACCAGCCACUUCGCGUGAAGGAUGCCGGCAUUUCGGGUUGUAAACUUCUUUUAUACAGGAAUAAAGUGAGUCACGUGUGACUUUUUGCAUGUACUGCAUGCAAAAUGAUCGGCUCACCCGGUUCCAGCAGCCGGCGUAAUUCGGAGGGUCCAAGCGUUAUCCGGAUUUAUUGGGUUUAAAGGGUGCGCAGGCGGAAGAUUAAGUCGGCGGUGAAAGUUUGCAGCUCAACUGUAAAAGUGCCAUCGAUACUGGUUUGCUUGAGUGUGGAUGGAGUGGGCGGAAUUUGUGGGGUGGCGGUAAAAUGCAAGGAUAUCACGAGGAACUCCGAUUGCGCAGGCAACUUACUAGGCCAUAACUGACGCUCAGGAACGAAGGCGUGGGGAUCAAA